CUAUAAUGCAGUCGAACGCUUCUUUUUCCACCGGAGCUUGCUCCACCGGAAAAAGAGGAGUGGCGAACGGGUGAGUAACACGUGGGUAACCUGCCCAUCAGAAGGGGAUAACACUUGGAAACAGGUGCUAAUACCGUAUAACAAUCGAAACCGCAUGGUUUUGAUUUGAAAGGCGCUUUCGGGUGUCGCUGAUGGAUGGACCCGCGGUGCAUUAGCUAGUUGGUGAGGUAACGGCUCACCAAGGCCACGAUGCAUAGCCGACCUGAGAGGGUGAUCGGCCACAUUGGGACUGAGACACGGCCCAAACUCCUACGGGAGGCAGCAGUAGGGAAUCUUCGGCAAUGGACGAAAGUCUGACCGAGCAACGCCGCGUGAGUGAAGAAGGUUUUCGGAUCGUAAAACUCUGUUGUUAGAGAAGAACAAGGAUGAGAGUAACUGUUCAUCCCUUGACGGUAUCUAACCAGAAAGCCACGGCUAACUACGUGCCAGCAGCCGCGGUAAUACGUAGGUGGCAAGCGUUGUCCGGAUUUAUUGGGCGUAAAGCGAGCGCAGGCGGUUUCUUAAGUCUGAUGUGAAAGCCCCCGGCUCAACCGGGGAGGGUCAUUGGAAACUGGGAGACUUGAGUGCAGAAGAGGAGAGUGGAAUUCCAUGUGUAGCGGUGAAAUGCGUAGAUAUAUGGAGGAACACCAGUGGCGAAGGCGGCUCUCUGGUCUGUAACUGACGCUGAGGCUCGAAAGCGUGCGGAGCAGACAGGAUUAGAUACCCUGGUAGUCCACGCCGUACACGAUGAGUGCUAAGUGUUGGAGGGUUUCCGCCCUUCAGUGCUGCAGCUAACGCAUUAAGCACUCCGCCUGGGGAGUACGACCGCAAGGUUGAUACUCAAAGGAAUUGACGGGGGCUCGCACAACCAGUGGAGCAUGUGGUUUAAUUCGAAGCAACGCGAAGAACCUUACCAGGUCUUGACAUCCUUUGACCACUCUAGAGAUAGAGCUUCCCGUCGAGGACAAAGUGACAGGUGGUGCAUGGUUGUCGUCAGCUCGUGUC
rnacentral:rRNA from 1 species